rnacentral:tRNA from 1 species
GGAAGGACACAACUAUGGCGAGGUGGUUCCGGUUGCUAACUGGACGGGACAAGGUCUCUUAUGGGUUCGACUCCCAUUCCUUCCG